GACGCACUGGAACAGGUUGCCCAGAGAGACUCUGGGUGCCCCAUUGCUGGAGGCGUUCAAGGCCAGGCUGGAUGUGGCUCUCAGCAGCCUGCUCUGCUGGUUUGCAGCCCUGCCCACAGCAGGGGGGUUGGAACUACAUGAUCUUUGAGGUCCUUUUCAACUCAGGCCGUUCUGUGAUUCUACGAUUAAGUGAACCAACUACCUAAUUCUCCUUUAAACGGCAAAAUCAGAAAAACAAAUGCCCUCUUUUCUAGAGCUUCUCUCCAGCAGAAGAGCGUUAUAAAUUCUGACCAUUUUCCUUUGAACUGAUUCCUAGUGCAUGUUUCUUGUUUAGGAAAAUCAAGCGUAUUUGGAGUGCCUGCAUCUCACAUAGAAGAGAAACUGCUAACCUCCUCAUUGCUGAGGGCACGGGAUCAAGAGUAGCUGAGCCUGACCUGUAGUUCAUGGGAGCCAACAGGAACUCAGAAGCGAGCCUGCCACAAGUGUCCAGUCAUGAGGAGCUGAGCCGCUCCAGGAGUGGAUCAGAGCCACUCAGCCUUCCUGCGUGAUGGUAAAUAAAAUGAGCCAGCUCUAUACAAGGAUCACUGCCCCUGAGAACAACUGGCACAGCACAACUAUAGGGUAAGCUGAAUUUCCUCACUCUCUACACAGCAUGGUUGCAUCCAAAAUGCCUUCUUGGAGUCGUCCUUGUUGCAUCUUAAUUUCUAGCUGUAGUUGGAUAUGGUCCAGAAGCACCUGGAAGACUCUGAGUUCAUCCCAAAAAUGCUGCCAGACUUGGGCAGAGACAGCUGAAGAAUUACAGCCUUGUUCCUGGUUCUGCCCAUGCUCCUAUAUCUGGAGCAACUUUAUUCCUCUCUUCAGCUAAGAUCAUCCACCCUCCUUUCUGCAUGCUUCCAACUUACACAUGCAAGACAAAACAUUAGAUCCCUCCAAGGAGCAAUAGUCAUUCUGGUGCCCUGGAUGCUUGACACAUUGGAGAACAGGGUGCUAUCUCAGCAGCAGUUUUCUCCAUGGGCACUACUGUAUGAACCCCAUUAUGGAAAUGACAUCGCAGACCGACUUCUCAUUCUGCACUCCCAGGAAGCUUCAAGAUACCUGAAACAUAUCAGAAACCCAUAUGUUGGCAGCCCUGUCUACGCUUGGGAGCUGAUGUGGAUUCCAGGCCCAGAAACUCUCAUUCCACUAAAAGGAAGAUUAUACUAUUACACUGUAACAAAAUCUUGGGGAGUUCAAUUUCCAAAGAGCGUAUUUGCCUUUGUUGGGAGUCCCACGCAUAUCUACUGUGGUAAGAGCAGCACUGUAAUAUCUGCUACUCAAAAGAACAGCAGCUACAAAGAGAACUAGCCACCAACAUCAGCAUCUUCACUUUUAUCUUCAAACAACACAUGGUAUUAAUCUGGAGCCUCGCAUUCCUAAAAGUACUGGAAUCAUGAAGUGAUUUGCUUCCAGCAGGACCCUGAAACACAGAGUAACACAAGCGAAAACAGUCAGAAUGAACAAUCAGAGCAAAAUAUGCCUGCUGUCAAAUAGACUCUAAGCUUUUAGCUUUUCACCCGACAUCACCCAGCUGAUGAUUUGCGGGUCUCAUUCUACUUCCAGCCGCACCGCCUAAGUCGUGGAGGUGGGAGCAGUUACUGUGAGUCACUGAAACUUGGGGCAGCUUCAGAGAGCGACACGUGUUGGGACAGGGCAGGAUUAAUAAGGUCAGAAUCUCAUUCGCACGUCAGUUCUGCUCUGGCAUAAGUAUGUGAUGCACUGCAGCUUGGUCAUGUUUCAGUGGGGUUGCUUCAGAUCUGCUUUACUCUUUGUGAGAUCAGAAUCUGUGGCUGAUAUCGGAUGAAAAGUUAUGGUGACACCGAGGCAAUUUCUUUUGUAUUUCAUGUGAAGAAAGCUAAAAUAAAUAGCAUGAAAGGCCUCCCCUGUUAUUAGCUGGUGUGUUUGAAAGAAUCCUGCAGUUGUGUUUUAUCUUUUUUUUUUUUUUUUUUUUUUUAAAUCAGCAAGCCAGAACAUUUAAGAUAUAAUUAUUUGGAGAAAGGGGGAAGGGAAGUGUGCCUUUUGAAGAAAGUCCCACAAGCUUCCAAACACUUCAACAUUUCAUCGUGGCAAUCAGCCAGAUGCCAAACAAAAUGCUGCUUUCCACCAGGGAUCUGACAGGUGGCCUUUCCAAAGUUUACACAUUGAAGUGAGAGCUGAUGUUCUACUGCUUAUUUUUUUUGCCUUCUAAGUUAUUCCUUUAUUGAAGCCAGACUGAAGACAUCUUUCCAUGUAACAAAAGAUAAAAUCUAUCCCUGAAUAUUUUGGGAUUUCAAUGUGCCUUUCUUUUAUCCGUAUCUACUCAAGGAAUUAUUUUUUACACAUUCAGAUGAAGAAACAUUAGGCUGGCAAGAGAGAGAAAUGCAUGCACAGACAGAUGAAAGAUAAGCUAUUUGAAGCCUCACUGAUAACACAGGGCCAGAUACUACUUAGCUACAACCUGGGGCAGAAUCCCAUGUUUCCCUUGACGCAUUUCCUCCAUACCACCCUUCUGGCAGAGAAGAGGCCUGGCAUGUCAGCCUGAGAGCAUUUCCACCAGGUUCCAAGGUUCCUGGGAUUCUCCACCUGUCACCUGUUGCCCAAGGGCUGUCAGAUUUUUCUCCUCAGAAUUUUUAGAUGUUCCUGGAAACCCUCUAAAUCUACGCAUAGAAAAUAGCUGGAGAGACAAAGUGCAGGGCAAAAAUGAUGCAUCAUAGAUUUCAGCCAUACAUCUCAGUUUUCUUCAUGUGUGAAGUCCCUACAAAUACACAGAAAGAUCCAGGUUAAGAGAUGAGAGAAACUACAAAUCCCUCUGUAGAAACAACUGGUCUGCACUUCCCCCAAACAGAGAAGGGCUGGGUCCUCUUAGGAUACACUCUGUACUCUCUUUGCUUUCGGAAGUGCAGCACUCAAACAAAAAUCUGUACUGAUGAGCUUCCCACACAAGUCAGCAGAGCUACUCCUACGUCACAUGAACGCAAACCAAAAGGCAAUGAACCCUAUAAAUAAUGCAUACGUAAAGAGAGCAGCAAAUGCUGAUUUACAGAAUUUGAUCUCAUCUGAUGUGAGAUACAAUCAUGGAGUGAGUUGCUGGAGGUUAAUGGAGUUGCUCAAAACUGAUGACUCAGUUUACGAGACUCAAGUCUGACUCAGCUUAACCUAGUUCUGGGAUCAUAUUCUCAAAACUCAGAAGAGAAGACUUGGGGCUUCCCUUUGUGCUCAUUUAUAUCCCAUUUGGCUAUCAUGAAACCAAAAGAAAAGUGGGGUAUAUUAGAUAAUGUAGUACACAACCAAGAGGGAAACUCUGGCAGAGAAAAACCUAAGUUCUGACCAAAAAAAAAAAAAAAAAAAAAAAAAAAUCUUACUAUUGGCAAUCAUCAGUAAGGGAUCUAUGAGCUGGACUCAGUGAUACUUGUAUGUCCCUUCCAACCUGGGAGAUUCUAUGAUUCUGUAAUCUUUCCCACUGUUGUGUUUCUAUACUGCAGUCUUCACCAUAGCAUCUAAGCCAUUUCUGAGAGCUUCCCAAGGGACUUACAUCUGGUACAUACCAUCUGUGUGCCCAUCAUUCUCCUGGCAGUAGAUGAGCAGUGAUAUGCCUCUUUUGGAAGGGACUGCUUUAAAUUGCUGUUACAUAUAUUAAUGUGUGUUUGUACUGGAGAAGACAAGAUCAAACAAAUGGCUCUACACUUGAAGAAGGUAGACAAUCAGUGUGCAGGAACUCAGUUCCUGAGAGACUUUAUUCCACCAGCUGAAAACAGCACACAAGGCAUGUUUAUGGAGGAGCAUUCUCUUCUACUAAAUGGGCAAAGCUGUAACCCAUAGCAGUUCUCUUAUAUACAAACAAGUGCAUGUAUAUAAAUACAAUAGAAGUCUAGACAUCAAUUGGAGAUUUUUUAAGGAUUCCUAUGUUGGGCCAUUUUACCAUGAGAAAAUGCUGGAAAAGUGACCUUCCAGAUACAAAAUUAAAAGUAUGUGAGCAAAUAUGCCACCGAACACAGUUACUGUACAGUGCAAGUCUUUUAGACAGAGCUGAAUCACAAAAUCCUCUGAAUGUUCAAAAAUAAAACAAGAAAGUGAAAAUAUGAAACAUUAGUAUGGCACCAUCGUUGCUGAAUUGUUCACCCUUGGCCAUGAUCCUCCUAUUUUGACCAAUCUUUUCCAGGCCAUUCUUUGUUUUCCAAAAGUCAGACUACCACUCAAUUUGUCAGCAGUUCUACAUGUGACCGAGAGGGAAGUGCACUUCAGCAGUACUUAGUUAAAAUCUCAGCUUCCACCCAGUCAUGACAAUGGCAAAACAACCACCGAUUUCAGUCAUGCAAUUCAAGCAGACUGCAAAAUAAGCAUAAAAUAAGUUACAAUUGUUAGCAACGUUCCACAAUACUUAAAGCAGACAGAGAAAUGCUUGAACUCCUCUGUGAGUAGUAAAUAAGCCAAUAAGCUCUUGCCGUCUCUCCUCCCACCCCACAGCCAUAAGAAUAUUUGAAAAAGAAAAAAAAAGAGAGAGAGAGAGAGAGAGAGAAGGAAUAUAAUGAAAGCAAUGCAACAAAGCAGGCAAUUCCUUAGGAAUUAUCUCACAUUCAACAUCUCUUUGAAAUUAUCCAGCAACUAAACCACAAGCCCCCUGGUCCUUUUGGUCUUACAAAACAACAACAUAGUCUUCAGAUGCAGUAAUUAUAGGCAACAUGCACGAAGAAAAGCAAAUAAAGCAGUUUUAAUUGCCAGAGUCAAACACGUAAUUGUGUAUCUAUAAAGGUAAUUACAAACUAAAAGAUCAGUAAUGGUUCUUGUUUCUUCCGUUUUACCCUGAAGAAAAACAAUUAUCACUUAAGUAACCCUAAUCAUUUUAAUAUUUGUUCGGCAUAUCAGAAUCACAUCUAAAUCCCCUUCUUUUCUGAGGCAUCUGAAAUAUGUACUCAGAGCCAAACACUACGUUUUCUCAUUUCUAAUUCAGGAAAGUCUUGAUCCAAAACCCUCUGAUGGCAAUGGAAAGAACCCAUAGAACUCAUUACUGCUUAAUCAGAUUUUUUUUUUUUAAUUCUUCUUAUCUAUUUUUUAUCUCACUAGCCUCUCUCUCUGCAAGAGACAUUGAAAGUAUAAGGAUCAGGAAGGGACUCCAGAAAUGGGCAAAUAUGAAAUAUGUUGUUAUGUAUGAAGCUUCUCUACUGUUUAGUACUCACAGUAAAGCACCAGGCUGACGAUUUUGUCUACAGUUAUAAAACACCUGGAGUACGCCCUCAAUCCUUGAGUGAAAUCUCAGAGAAUGAUACCCAGUUAUUGCCUUUCAGCAUGGGUUGAUCCUGCAAGGGAUCUUUCUCUCCACUUGGAGGAAAACACAAGCACGUGCCAUAACACAUAAGUACUUGAAUAAAAUACCUCAUAGAAAACUAGCCUACUGCCAUCUACAGAGGUUGAUUAAGAACUUCAUUAAAGAAAUUAAAAGCACUGUUAAAUGUUUUAACCUCAGUUUGACACUCAGAGUACAUUCGGCCUUUGGAAACAUUUAUCAUACUUGCAACACUUUUCAAAAUCUACAAUAUUUGGUGUGGGAGAGAACGGAGAACAACAAAUGAAAUGAAAAAGACAGAUCUGGCUUGUUUCAGUAACUCUAGCUCUCAGGAACCAGAUCACAGUUGAAAAAUCAGAACUGGAAAUUACUAUUAUAACAUCAGUGAAUGUGAUCCUGAUGAAACAUUGAAAGGCGACUUUAUUUAAGGGGCAACAAGGGGGAGAUAAGAUCAAACCUCUCACUUUGUUCUAUAUGGACAAGCAGAUCUCAAUAACAAUAACAGCUCAUGCAGCCUCUCAAGCAUGAGCUGCUGAGCCAAUGAAGGAGGCAGCCAGGCUCACCUCCGAAGCCUAGUUUGGGCUCAAAUCAGCAUCCGCACUUAGAUCAGAGCCAACAGAAGUUAAGCCAGCAAGAAUAUUUUGGCACCAUUUCCUGGCGGCCACAGUGACCUCAUUUAUCUAUUAUGUAUUUUCUUUUUCAUGCUCUAUGUAUUCAGUCAGCUUUGCUGGCUGAUGUCCUGUUUUUUUGGCUUGUUCUACUAUGGCUUGGCUGUACCUUUGACUGUUUGGCAUGCCCAACUCUGGUAUCACUUGAUUUGUAAAGCUGCUGCAAUUUCUUAAUUGGACAAUUAUAGACUGGAAUCCAUUUAUGAAAGUUUGUUCUUAGCAUUCCACACUGCACAGAAACUAUUCAUUCACUCAUCAAGCUUGCUGAACACAGAGUAAUACAGGACUUUGCCAUGAAGUGGGAGGAGACUUGAGGGGUAAGACUGUGAUCAGUAAAUAUCACGAACUUCUCUUCAAAGUUCAAUCCAGUACAGCGCCCAUCUUUUCACAAGGGACUUCUGUUUUCCUCUCUUACACAAUUUUUAAGCUCUCUUUCUACCCACCUCUCACUCCAUAGUACCCAUUUAUCAUAGAAUCUUAAAAUCAAAUGAGUUAGAAGAGAUCCUUAAAGGUCACCUAGUCCAACUCCCCUGCAGCAAACAAGGACACCCACAGCUCAGUCAAGAGUGCCUUUGUGGUGUAUUUCCAUACCUUAGGUGCAGUCAACAGUUUUUCACCAGAGAGAAAGCUCUCAACAGAUCAAGCAAGGCAAAUAACAUUGAGUAACACCUACAUGUUACCCUUCCCCUAGCCAAGCAGAACUACAGCUGUAUCCUUAGCCCCAGUGGUUUCUGUUGCGCUGUUCAGAAGUCUACAAGAUACAGCAGUACUCAGAGUAUCCGGCAGGACAGCACGCAAUCACAGAAUUUCUCAAAGCUCUUCUACCUUAUACGCCUUCAUACUCCCCUUUCUCAAACCAGGUUUCCAGCUGUGUUUCCUCUCACCUCUUCUGUUGCUUCACGGCCCUUCAGCCACUCACAUCUAGUCCCCCUGGGCAAGUGCAGAGUGAUAGCAUGGAGAGCAAAGACACCUGUGGAGAUCUUCAAGCCCUGAAGUAUGCUGCAGCUGGCAAGGCUACAGCCUGACAGCACCUGCGGCUGCUUAUAACAACAGCUUCUUGUGUUCAGCAGCAAAAAUGAAGUGCAGUGGAGUGCAACAGGUCAAGUUGGGAGAAGAGCCCUCUUAUGCCUAAGAACCACAUAAACACAUUGCAGAAAUGCUUGGAAGAACCAGCACUGCGUACUGCUCUCUUGUCUGUGCUGUGGUGAAAUCCAUCUAAAAUGGGAAAGUGCAGGAGCAACAAAAGCAUUAAUGUCUCCCCAGUCUCUGCCCCCAGAGUGUUUGUUUCAAAGCUUUCUCAGGGCUUUUGUGCUAGAAAAUGUGAGCGCACACCACAGGCACACACCACAGACCAAGCUACUUCUCUUGGUAUUUUCUCCAUAUGGAUCAGGGGACUGAGCAGAAGCUACUUGAACUUGAUAUUGUUUCAGCCCUAAGCAAGCAGCUGACUCUUGCAAAAACCACAGGUGAUAGUGUGCGUGUGGUCUGCAGCAAGGCUUUGGAUUACUACUGCUUAGUCACUGAGGCGGAGAUGGUUUCUGCAGCAGCAAGCAAGCAGCAUAGAAGGAUGCUGCAGGAGUAGGCUCUGUUCCAGAAAAAUGACUGAAUGACUUUGAAAAGAACUCAGAUGUGGUUCACAGGCAGAAUAAAACACUACGAGAAAAGUCUUGGCCAACAGCAUGGAUGCUCUCGGGAGAGCUUCUGGCUUGGCUGAUCACACAUAAAAUGCUCUUCUUCCUCAUGCAUAAGACCUACCUUAGAAUGACCACACUUCCUUUCUUCCGCUGGGGAUGGAGUUUAUCCUUGACCACCCUGGAGAAACAGCAAGCAAAUUGUAUCAGAAAUUCCAUGUCUCUGCUCCCAUAGAAGUAUGGCUUCGUUUCAUGUAAGACUCAGCAGGAAAAGCCAGCCUGUAGCUCACGGUGGGCAAGUGUUUUUAUUACUGGGGCUAGUUGCUGUUUAGUAUAUGGAUACAAUUGCUUGACCACGUCCCUUUCUUUUGUGAGAGUUUGAUGGUUGCUUAGCACUUAUGAAUACACCAGGAGGGGCUUAACAUGUGCAGGCUUUAUCAGAAACUAGCUGUUCUUCCUUCCAUUCCUUGCUUGUGGCGACAGUAUGGAAGGUUAUGGGCCACAUCACUUCUCACAGAUCACGCUGACUUAGAUCUUCAUUUUCUUAUAGGCAUUUCCUUUCAGCUCUGAUCUUACUCAGAUCCUCUUGAAGCAGAUUCCACAGGAUCAGUGGCAAAAUAAGAAAUGUGAGCUUAAGGGCACAUUAAUACUUACGACAAAGUGGUGGUCAGCAGCCUAACUAGCCUAGUUCUCAUAAGCAAACACAUAGGAGGAGGCAGUGUGUUGCUGUUAAUUUUAUUCUUCUUCCACUCUGCAUCUCAGUAGGCAUUUGAAAGUGACAAUAAGAUUUCAAGGUGUAAGAUGAUGUAGAAAUGGCAUUUCAUUCCUGUUUCCUCUGUUAAUAUGUUAUUUCUUAAAAAGUUGUGAUCACAACAGAAUUAUGGAGAGGAUCUGGGGGCCUAGGGGUUUAAUUUUGAAUUUACAGCUUUUAAUUCUAGGAGCAUUUUUGUUUUUAAUUGGCUUCUCCAUGCUGCCAGCAGCCUUCUUGCCCACUGUGCAGAUCAAAGCCCUUAGCUGUAUUGUAAUCAGAAUGAGAAUAACAAAUCUGUUUGAUACCAUCCAAGUGUCACCUCGCACUGCACGAAAGCGUUGAAAGAUGAUUGCUUAAGGAUGAAAUAACUGACUGAGAAUGGUUACAUUACUCUCUGGCCACAGGUUGCAUUUGUUGCUUUGCAUGCAAAAAUUCUACCGAGAAAAAAAAGAGUUACUGGGCCAACUGUGAGCCAAUCAUAAGCUGUCAACUGGAAAAACAUAUUGGUUUAUCUUCAAGACCCCCAGCACUUCUCUGAUGAUUGCUGAGCUUGAAGAAGCAGAGUAAUGGAAGGAGAAAGACUAUUCAAAUCAGUUCAGAUUUUCAAUAAAUCAUAUAAUACUUUUUUCAUACCUGACCCUAGCAAUUUAAGCACAGGGAAAGUGGCCUCAGAAAAACUGUGACUUUUGGUAUGGUUCCUUCACGCCACCUUCUUAAUUAUACUUGGUAAAAUAAAUCCAUUAAAAGAAGCUGGCAGAGAUCUGAGGGGAGGGGAGGCAAGAAAAAGCACAGCACUAUAAUUGAAAUUUAUGAUGAUGGAUUAUUAUUGUCAUAUGAACAAAUCCAGGAAAAAAAAAUUGGCUUCAGAAGUAAGGAGAGGAAACUGCCUAUCCCGUUACAAGGUAACAACAGCUAUUCAGAUUAAGUAGCACAGAUGUGCUUAACUGAUCAUGAGUUUAGCACAUAAGGGAACAGUGGAUGGAAGCUCUCUGAGGCUGACCUUGACCUCAGCACUUCUUGUAACAACUCAAGAUACUAAAAAAUAAAUCCAUUUACUGUCUCUUCCAACAUAUAAAAGAAGCAAGCAUUGUUUAAUAAUACUGAGAAGAACACCAGCAGAAUUUCACAGCCCAGAGAACCAAGAUUAUUAGGAUAAAAUACUGUAAACUCUUGAAACAUCGGCAUUACAUUCCCAUGAACUCUACAAGACACUUUCCAGAGUGCUGGUUACUGGCAGAGCUAUAAUGAAAAAGAUGAAUACUGCUUACAGUUUGAAAAUCCUUUGAACUCAAGAAUUUUAUGAAAAGGGGAUGGGGAAGGGAAAAAAAAAAUGACGUGGAAUUCCCACAGAACAUAAGUUCAUUCUAGGGAAGAGCAUACUCUGCCUGAAUGUCCCCUGUGAUUGUUCACAGAUACCCGGCCCACUGGCAAAAUGAGCAAUGUUGACAGUGGUGGUUAAUCAGCUGAUUCAUAGACACUCAAGUGAUCAAAUAUGGGCCUAACUCAGCCAACUGGACAGCCUCCAAUAGUGGAAAUUGCAUCAGUGGAAAAAUCUAUAUGCUGCCUACAAGACAAAUUAUUAAAAGCAGAAGCAUUUUGACCAUAUCAAUCUAAUGAAGGUGGAUACCAGGGAAUAUGAGAAAUACUGCUUUACUAACAGUCAUUAUUUAGGUCUGCACAGCAUUCAUGUAUUUAUCAUUUAGACUGUUCACAUCAGCCUAACAUACACUGCACUACAACAGAGAGAUCUUAUCAGAGAUCCUUGUACUGCAGUGAUUUUGAGAUCAGCAGUUAAGUAUUUAGAGUGAAAAAAACCAACAGAAUUAAUCAGUUUCAGAAAAACUUCUCCAUAAAGCACAAGGCAUCAUCACAAGUUGUAUGAAUAUCAUUGAAAUGGAAAUGCUGGUGUGCUACUGAGUUCCACUCAUGUAGCUACUGGCCUUGUAACCAGUACUCUCCUCUGGAAAGUGUUCAUUUCCAAAACAAGCUUUAUGCAGCAGAAGAUGAAAGAUAAGAGCAUAUAGCCACCAGAGCUGUACAGCUUGCCUAGUGGAAAAGUUCUUCAUUUUUUUGUCACACACCAAGAGAAUGCAUGUUGUUAGCAGCGUUGCUGCAAAUGUAGUGUUUUCAUUAUAGGUCUGCCACUGUCAACAUAAGAGCUAUAUAGAUAAGCAGUUUAGUUAGUUCCCAGUUAGUCUGAAAAACCCAAAGCAAGGUAAAGUGCUGAAGCAUUUACUUGUUUUCAUACAUUUUGAAAAUGAAAUAUUUUUUUAUGCACACACAAGGGCACAAGUGGGAUAAACUGUAUCUGAUAAGUAUUAUUUGUAAGACCUCACAUCAAAAAUGGGAUAAAGUUAUUUGCCUUUGCUUAAAACAAAGAAUAAUUGAACUCUAAGAGCAUUCUACAACACAGACCUAAUCUUCUAGUGCAAAAAGAGAUUGUUCGGAAAACACAUCACCCAGUGUUGUAAUGGUAUUUAAGGUUCAGACCUUUGUGGAUUUGCCACCAGAGGCCUUCCCUACUUUCAGCAUGCGACUGGGCUAUCUGCUAGCUCUUUCCACGGCUCCCUUCAAGUCAUGACUGAGGAACAGAGGUUCAUUUAGUCUGGUUAACUUCAGCCCUGCCAUAUGUCAUUUCUGGAUCAGUGGCAGCCUCUAGUUAUUUCCCAGUGGCCUUGGUCCAAGGAAGGACUUUCCAGAGGCAGAAGCACAAAAGAGCAAAAGACUGAUGCUGGUGAUGAGCCAGCACCACUUGGCUUCCAAAUCAAGAUAAAACUGCAAUCGUACUUAUAUUUUUCCUGUGGGAAGGGUACUAUUUUUUUAUCUACCCCACGCAGAACUCUGAACAGAGUUUUACACACAUGCUUGUAUAUGCCACUGCCAUUGUGCUUUGUUCCAGGGCUAAGUGUUGGCAGAAUAAGUGCAGUUAUUAUAAAAUGUAUUAAUAUUUAUAAACACACUAUUGAGGAAAAUCAGUCUCUGUCAGAAGUGAACUGUCUAAACACAUUGUGGUGCUCUUUCACUCUGGGAAUAAUCUAGGCUGAGACAAACACUACUGAAUCCUGUUCUGGAAGAAUAAAUCCAAGCCCUCUAUGAAGUGAAAUUAUAAACGUUUGUUCCUAACAUUUUAUUUUUCUGUUUCCAAGCAGAAACUUCUGGGCAAGUUUAAUUGUGAAGGGAUUACUCAUUGGGUGAUAGCAGUAUGGAGCUGAAAACCAAACUAGAUUACCAAGAGAGUCUUCUAUUUACAUUUUGCUCUCCAAAUAAUAGACAAAAUGUGUAAAUAGCAAAUGCUUCAAUGUGUUGAAAUUUCAGUCAAAAUAAUUUUUGUGAAAAUCUCAGCAAAUAUUUUGGCCAUUUCUUAUAGCGAAGCAGUGUACAUCCAAGGUUCGAAUAAGGCAAGGAAUGAUCCUCAACUAACCAGUAGAAAGACUUCCACAGGAUUGGCACUGCAGCAGGGACGCAUGCAGAUCAGAUAACUGUACUGCCAGGAGUCCUUUGUGUUUAUCCUGCUGUAAUAAUUACAUGAGAUAUCACAUAUGCAUAUGCAUCAUUAGUAAAAAACAAAACAAAAAAAAACCACAAAACAAAACAAAAGACAAACCAACUGCAGUUGCACACAAUGGAUCUAUUGGUAGCACUAGUGGAGAAGUUCAAGUUCAUUCUAUUUUCAGACUCACUGUUAAAAUGACUCUUUUCAGAAUGUUUAAUCAGUGUACUGAGACAAUUCUUUUGUAAAAUGUUAUAAAAACUCGCAUGCCUAUAUUUUGCUGACAAGAGAGUUGAUUGAGUUUUUGUUGCUCAGCUCAAAAUGAGUACUUGACCUACUUAAAAGGCUUUUAAAUCUGUCUAGGUGCUUAUAUGACCCAUUUUUUGCCAACUUAAAACUUAUUAGCCAAGAUUUUAUAGCAAAUAUUCACCUGUACAUACCACUGUUUUCAUUAUUAGCACACACAAGUAUCUUGAAGUCGCCUAAUGCAGAACAUUAACUUUGUAGAUGUGUACACACCUGUGUACAUAUUUUAAGCAAACAACUUCCUUGAAUGCAAUAUUUUUUGAUAUCUUGAAAUGGACAAAAGAUGAAGAAAUGCUGAUCCAGCUAAAUAGUUUCCUUCAGCCCUUCUGGGUUUGCUUACUUGUGUCAUCUUGGAAGUCAGAAUGUACAUUAAGAGCGAGGAAAAAAAUCUCCUGCACGGAAUCACAAGUAUUUGUAUUCAAAUCCCAUCUCAAAAAGGAACUUCUUUUUUUUUUUUUUUUUUUUUUGUAAUCCUACAAUUAAGACCACUUGAUCCAAUGAGUCUAGAUUGCUGAAUUGACAAUAAAAGGUAUGAUGUUUACCUUGCACAUCCAGUAUGGCUGUUGUUUUACAGUAAAGCUCAUGUGACAGGAAAACAUUGGACUCACUGAAAGAUCUGGCCAUCAGGAAAGGAGUUUCAGCAACAUAUGAAUUAUUGUUGCUUUAUGCAUUGAGACUGAGCCAAAAUUCUUUCCACAGCCAUGAAUUGGACUAAUUUCCUCAGCCAGUGACUGUGGAAACCCUAUAGAAACAAAUCCCAAGCCAUAGUUUCAUUUGAAAGAGGAACACCACCUCUCUUUUCACCUCUUAACCCCACCUAACUACAGCGUCAUUUCAAGGGUUUCUGAGUUAAAAGCUCAGGCAAUGAUGAUUGCUCUACAGAUAGGCCUCAGGCCUCAUAGCCCAUUGGGGAGUGCCCAAGAGCUCCUUGGCCAGGGAACUCCUGCCCUCCACAUGAGGUGCCUGAGCUUUGCCCUGACAGUGGGAAGAGGGGCAGAGUCCCUCCAGCAGCAGGAGGAGGUUGGGACAGCCAGCCCUCCAGCUGUUUGUGGUCACUGGUGGAGGCAGGAAGGGUCAUGCACAGGUUUUGAGAAAACAGUGAAACUUGUGCAAUGCAGCACAGGUAAAAGAAGAGGCAUAAACCUACCUUGCUGCAAAGCACAGUGCAGCUGACUUUUCACCAGUCCGCAGUCCUUUUAAUCUAGAUAAGAGUGCUGCCCUAGCAUGACCUACAAGCCGAAGAAUUAGUUAAUUUUCCCCUCUGAUUAAUAGCUUGUGUAAAAUUAGUAGGAAGGAAAAAAGAGGUGCUAGUUAACCACCACAUCUUUCUUGGCGGGAGGAUGUAAACGCUGAAGGCAGAGAUAAUAUUACCUCCCUUGGGCAUCAGACGCUUGGUGGUUUGGAGCACAUGCCUUUGAUAAUCAACAUCAGUAUCUCUUUCAUGUCACUGAACAGAAAAUAGGGCCUCUUCAAAGAGACUAACUCAGAAAAGAAAUUGUUAAACAGGCCUGGCUGGGUUGAGCAAUGCUGGAAAUUAAGUACCCUGGAGGGGCAGGAUUAGAAGUGAGGUCAGCACCCUCACUCAGGGCAAGGGAAUACAUUAAUGGCCCUCUGUGCUGCCUCUGAAGUUGCGAUGGCUGUCACUGAAUAUUCCUGCAGACCUCUCUUUCUCUCCCUCCAUAUGCUGUCCUGAUGAUUAGCAUUCUGCCUUCUUGUCAUAAAAUACAUGAAUUAGUCAGUGGCCAGGAGAUUGCUGGCCUAAGCUUUUGAACUGAUACGGAGCUUCAAUUACACAGCCUCACUGAGAAUUUUUUUUUUUUAAUCCUGACUUUUUCAUAAUGUUAAUCCGCUGGUAGAUACUUAUUCUUUAUCUAAGACACCAAGGCGUUCAGCAAAUGCACAUGAAAGAGCAAGGCUUUGUUCCUUUGCCAUCCGGACUCUUGUUUAGUGUGUGCUUCAAAUAAGGGAAUUACAUUCUAAUGACUCACAGUUUUAUUUGUCUUAACCCUUCUGGAGACAAAUGAUUUGCUGUGCAUGUUGAUGCAAUGAUGACAUCAUUUCUCUCUUGGACGAUAACUAACACAGAAUCCACCUUUCAGCAAAAAUACCUUUAGAAAAGCACAUCUGGCUUUAGUCUGGGAAUUUCAAAGGUUCUUCAUAAAACUGAGCUCUCGGUAGCAAUGAGCUUUGGACACCUUGCACUGCCCUACCCUUCUGGAUUGGCAAAGCUCCAUGAGAAGUGCUGCAGAGAGUGAGGAGAAGAAGAUGUGCUUGAAAGUGUGUCUCUAUAGUGUAGCUGAGCCAGCACCUUCUGGACAGCAUGGAGGCAGAGAGCCUGGAGAGCUGCACACUGGGACACAGCCUGUGCUAGGCCAGCCUGGACAGGGAGCGAUGCUGUAACCUGCAUGCUGCUCACAGGUCCAGUGUAGAAAUUCAAACAUACCACCUAAUGAAAGCAAAAGGAAACAAGAUGUUUAAUUUAGGUGACUUAAGGCACAGGCUUUCCAGCCUAUAUUUCUUGAGACCAGAUUCUUUGCCUAAAACCAUUUUUGUGUAUGGUUCUUGUUAAAAAGGGUUUCAUUUCUGUCCAGUAUAAACAUGUAUAAACCAAUUAAAUACUGCCUACACAAGCCAAGAAACUUAGUCAAGCACUUUGCUAGCAAGCUCAGAACAUAAGCCCACAUGCAGCUGGUGGAGUUUGGAUUCGGGUGAAGACAGCACCUGAGAACUUGUCACUGCCUACAUAAGUCUGGACAUACACUUCUUGCACCCAGUGCCAGCAAUUUGCUCACUUGUUGAGGUGAUAAUGAAAAAUUGAAACACUUGAGAGCAAAUCUUCCUCCAUCCACAGCUUACUGAUAGCUUAAAUUGCUAUGCACAUUCUGUCUACACAAAUACAUCAUUUCAUUUCCAUUUAUUUGCAGGAGCAGCUUCUUGCAUUUUUUAAUCUUAGACAGCUUCACAAAGACUUCAACAUCCAGGCCUCAAACCUUGGUAUAAAGAGGACCUUAAGGACAGAAGCUGACGUUUCCAAAUAACAGCAAGCUGAGAUCCCAAGAGGCUUACAAAUUCCGUUCUGUUUCUGGUCAAGAAAGAGCAGAGCCUGGUAAGCAGGGUCCUCCUGUGGCUGCAUGAAAAUGCCAUACACGCAAAUGACUCAAACAUGUUUCCUGUGUGCCCAGCCAAUGGGAAUGCCAAGGAAAACAGGAGAGAUUAAAACUUUAUCUCCAACAGCAGACUGCCUUCCCAUAGCUUCUGCUGCAGUGUUGGGAAUUAAAUAACACUGAGGAGGAAUCUAGUGAGUGAACCAGUGCACACCAAAUAUGUCCAGGCUUGGUCCUAAACCAGUUUCACCCAGACUGUGCAAGGAGUCUACCCAGUACCCAAGAACAGCAGCAAUCUCCACAGAAGGCUUAGGGAAUCAGGGAACAAGACAACUUCUAUGGUAGUACUUUGUUGUCCCAGUCCAAAAUUCGGCACAAAGCAGAUGAUCCCUACAGGUCCAUUCCAAUCCCUACGAUUCUUUAAUAUGUGCUUCCUUUCACAGAAAUAACAUGUUUCUGGAAAGGUCUUCUCUCCAAAAGAUCACCGAAUCAUAGACUCAUAGAAUGGUUUGAGUCAGAAGGGACCUUUAAGAUCAUCUAAUUCCAACCCCCUGCUAUAGGCAGGGACACCUCCCUCUAGACCAGGUUGCUCAAAGCCCCAUCCAGCCUGGCCGUCAAUGCCUCAAGGGUGGAAGCACCCACAACCUCUCUGGGCAACCUGUUCCUGUGCCUCACCACCCUCAAAGUAAUGAAUUUCUUCCUUGUAUCUAGUCUAUAACUACCCUCUUCCAGUUUAAUUUUACAAUUAAAUCUCACGGUAUCUUUUUCAGGAAUAUAUCAGUCAGCAAGGGUUUUUAUUGUUGUUUUUGUUAUUAUUAUUAUUAGUUUUAAUGUGGGUUUUAUUCUGUUUUUUCUUUUGGGAGGAGAAAACUAAGGGGUGAUGCAGUUAAGCAUCUGUCUGAGGCCAGAGUGGAAUCAUAAGCAGAUUGAUCCCAAAUUUCCAUGUGUGCCAUCCCACGCUCAUUAUUCCAUGAUAAAAUUCAGGAAGUCUCACAGCUAAAGCUUGGAUGCUAUUUUAAAUUGUAUAGUGUGGAUUAAGUUUAUUACCUAUGUUAAUUACCUAGUCCUGCUUCAAAUUCCACUCUCAGUUCAGUGGAAUCCAGUUCACCAGAAUCCAUAUAGGACUGUGAGGUCAACAGAGGUCUGUAGCUAUAGGAUGUCUCUUUUUUCCCCCCCCCUUUUUUUUUUCUUUUUUUUUUUUUUUGAAUAUUUCUCAUGUACCCCCAAUGCAGCCUCAAUGCAAGACUUUGUGCUUCAUUUAUGCUGUUUAAUAGUUGGUAUGGAUAUUGACUAAGUAACUACAAAUCAACGAAUUUCAUUAAAAACAAACUCUCACUAUUGUUUGCUUAGCUGAGAGACUUUCUGCUGUAAAUCCAGAAGAGCAACGAUGACAGCCUGCUCAACAAGCUGUCAUUCCGUUUUUUUCCUGCAAAGAGAAAACAUAGAAACAGCACUAUUUCCUGCCUUCUUUGAUCAGUGGUUAUAGCAAAAGACAUAGCUUUAACGUGACAAUUCAGAUGCAAUCAUAGAAUUAUUAAGGUUGGAAAACACCUCUAAGAUCAUCAAGUCCAAAUCUCAAGCCAUCCCCACCAUGCUCACUAACCAUGUCCCUCAGUGCCACAUCUACAUAUUUCUUGAAGACCUCCAGGAAUGGUGACUCCACCACCUCACUGAACAGCCUGUUCCAAUCCAUUACUACCGUUUCUGAGAAGAAUUUUUUUUAAUAUCCGACCUGCUAUAUGCUUGGGAAAGUAGCAUUGUUGCAGCAGUACUGAAGUGAACAAUGCAAUUAAGAGAGGACUUGACUGUAGAAAGUAAACUUGACUAAACCCAAGAUAGGCAGACUUACCAACAAAUAUUUAGAUACUACCAGUAUUACAUGUAAGGACAGGUCAAGAGUUUUUUAAGUUUUGGUUUUAAAGAUGUGAAUUCAUAGAACUCCAAGCUACCUUUCCCUUCAUGGAGCACUUGUUACUACAAAAAAAAUGCCUGCUUUGUUAAAAGCUCCCUGUUGACAACGACAAGUCUGAAUAAACAGUCAGCUGGCACAUUAGUUUCUAUUAGCUCAAGUUUACAUGCCUUGUCAUGCUCUUCCAGCUUUCAUUUGUCACUAAGCUACGCAAAAGCUCAGCAAACACUAUUUCCCUUCAAACUUUCCCCAGGUUUCUUUUGUAGAAGAGGAAAAAAGGAAAGAAAAAAAAAAUGGGGGGGGAGGGGGUACAAUGGUGGGAGAGGACAGAAUCAUCAGUUCUUCUGCAGGGCACUCCAGCUCUGCAUGGAAGAUCCAGCUGAAGUCUUUCAUCUUGAGAUCAAGAGACCAGUGUUGAGCAGCAGCAGUCUGGAGCCAGAGCCCCGGAGCGAAAAGCAGCCAGAUGGGGGGCUGUUUCAGUAGCACAGAGUAGUUGGCCACAGAGUCUCUGUGCUACUGAUGGAUCUGCAGGCCAAGGAGUUGUCAGAAGUCAUUUGUUUUCAUUUUUUGCUGACCUUAACGAUAUAUAGAACUUUCUUUGCUUAUGCUGGGAUACUGGGUGCUUGCACAUGCUCUGCACAGGGCCAGGGCAGCUGAAAGACUGGGCAUGUGGGGCAACUACAGUGUGCACAGACAGCAUGAACAUACAAACACAAAUGCAGGAAGAACAAGUAUUUAAGAAUUUUGGCAUAAAACCCACAUGAAGAAAAGCCAGUCUACUCAGCAGCAUAUUCAUAAAUGAGCUCCAGAGACCAACCCUCACACAAAACAAACCUUGCGCUGUGGCUGCAUGCUCAGCACCUGGAGAGCAAUGAUAGGACACUGUGCUAUAACCUCCCAGCACAAACACUGCCCUGGGCUCAGUCUGGUUCUAGUUUUGUGAUGUGCAAGGAGUCAAAGUGACCUCGGCUUCAUUGAAACUCCCCGCUCGCUAUUAAAAAGCCAGCAGGGCUUGACAGGAAUAGCAGAAACCAGAUGGGAAAGCACCAGGACUGGGGACAGUGGGGCUGCAGAUCCAAAGGUCAGUGCUACUCCGCAGGGAGUGCCUGAGCUGCAUGCUGUGAUUCCAGCCCUGGGGCAGCGUCUGCUGCAAGGGGCUUCUGCCCAGCAAGAGCACCUGGAAGUCAGGCUGAGCUGGUUUGUUUUUAUGAGGAGGGGAUAGGGGUUACACAGCAGAGCAGAGAGGGAAAAGCAGAUGGUGAGCUGUUUUCAUGGCCCUGUCUGCUCAAUAGCGGCUCUUUAAGAGGGCAGCCAGCUUCCUGCAAUGCUUGGUGCCUGCCUUACCGGCCUGCUCAUGAGGAGUGCAGUGGACAGAAAUGCAGUGCUGCCACUGGCAUCAAAGCAUACAACCAAAGCCUGAUGAAACGGCUGGCUCCCUGCAAAGAGUGAGAACCAUGCAUCCUAGCCCUCAGGGGCAUACUGCCCCAACAGGGAAUGCUAGGAAAUCCCAAGAUAAAUCUGUGAAAGUAGCCUUCAAGCAGGAUAUGGUGCCGCGGCCUCUGUUCAUCCUUAGAUGUUAUUGCCUCUGAGCAGGAUGAGUAUCAACACAGGGGGUGGUGGACCUUUGUCAUGCAGCAGGAAUGUUAACAUCCUCCAGAUUUAAACGGCGCCAUCUGAAGAGCAGUUCAUGUGCUGAAAUUAAUUUUUCAUGUGUACAUCAUGAGGUCCUAAUAAAAUUGUUAAAAAAAUAAAAAUGAAAUUGCCUUUGUUGUCCUCCUAAUAGGACUCCGUUGGCAUUUCUCAUUGCUGUUGUCUGUAGACAACAAGGUUGUUUUUAAAGUUAUGGUAUCAGCCUCGCAAAAUGAAAGGGAUUAAAAAGACAAAAACAAAAUGUCAAAACAACAGAACAGAAAGAGGAUUUUUGUCCAUAAGGGGGAAAAAAUAAAAAGGAAGGAAGAAGAAAUAGGAACGCGCCAAGAAGCAAUAUAAAAAGAAGCAGGGACUUUUGAUGUUUUCUUUUCCCUCCUCCUUCAUUCUUGGCUGAAUUAUAGGGCGUAGCAUAGCAUUUUCAAAGCAUCUUUUACAAACUUUAUUUAGUACAGUGAUUCACAUUUCCUGAGCAAGGUUAACCGAAGGGAGGGAUAUUUCUCCCCUUGCCCCCGGCUAUUCCCCAACUUUCAGCUAAAUUGUAUCACAUUGUUAAAAAUAAUUGUCAGAAAGGAACAUUUCCUGAUCUCUUCCAAUUGCAUUGUUUUCCCCAACAAUGUGCAGGAUGGUUCAUUGCUAAUUUUAGCGAGCGUUUUUUUAUUGCUUUGCACAAUCUGAAGCCUCUUGCAUAACACAGAUGCACACAGUUAAGGCUGAGGACUUCAUGGUUCUGGUGUGCGAUGACCAUGUCUCCAUCCAAACACCUCCAGUUUGCAAAAGCAAGACGUUAUGUAGAUAGGACAGCUGACUUUCUCUUCUAGAUAAAGUAAAUCACUCCCCAGGAGAAACUAGAGCUGAGCUCAGAUGCAGGAGGCAUCAGAGCUUAUAGGGAGUUCCAUGCCUGCACAGACAUCACCUCAAUCUCUAUGCUCUAGCAACCCAAAGAGAUGAGCGCCAGCCAUGCCAGAGCUCCAGCAUAGCAGAAAAAAAUACAUUGGUGAUGGGGGCAACCCUAUACUCAGUUAGAGCAACAGAAAGUAGAGUGGAUGAGGCAGGGUGGUCAAAGCAGCUACUUGGGAUCAUCAGCAAUAAGAAAAGAGAAAAGGUCUGAAAAAUGCAGUAUCUUUUCAAAGAGCAUCUGACUACUGAAAAAAAAAAAAAAAAGAAAUCACUGUUGGAAAAUUUUACUCUGUCCUGUUUCCAUUUCACUGACUACAAGAGAAGCUCCAGUAGAAACAGCUGUAAGGUCAGAUUUGUUUGAAAGGAACAGAGAGGAGAGCCUCUGGUUUCUUUCCAAAAUGCCGUUUGUUUAAGAUUCACAAAGGGUCAGGAAGAACAAAUUGCAAUGGAUACUCUCCCUGUGUAGCCAAACAUAUUUCCAAGCAGAAACACGAUGUUAUGAAGAACAAACAAGUAAAUAUAAAGGAAGCUGAAGAAAACCCCAAUCCUAAAACCUGGCUGCAGAAUGGUAUCACUCUAACACAUGCUCAGGGAAUAAAACUACUUUUAAAGCAAUGCGGGGGGUGGAAAAAUGUUAGCUAUGACUUAGAUGAAUGCAGAGGGUCACUUAGGAGAUAGUUACUUAUCAGAAUGAGCAUCCUAGCUCUGACUCAAACUCUGCCAGCGUGGCUUAGUUUUGAUCAUCUGUUGCAAUCCCUUGUACAACACAGGAAAUUGUGUAUCAGCCAGAAAAGCCAUAGCUCUGCUAGAGAACGUUGAAGGCACACAGUAAUAUGUGCCAUCUGCUACCCAUAGGAUGUGAGGAGGUGUGUUUAGGUCCUUCAUCUCUACUCCGUAUGUUCCAAAAGCAGCAUGUUUAGCUGCUUGGAUGUUUUUAUUCCCACAUGGCUUCCCCUAAACACAUACAUGCAGCUCCAUUUCACCAAAUAAUGGAGAAAAAUGCAAAGGAUGACCUGGAGGACGCUAGUCUACAUGGAUAGUAAACCACAAAUAUCAUACUCCUUUCUGUGUGCACUACUAGAUAUUUACAACAUUCUACAUUUAAGAAAAGUUAAUAAGAGAUUUAAAGGGAAUGACCUUGUAAAGGGAAAACAUCUACUGGAUAGAUCUAUGUGAUCCUUUAUUGAUGUCCCAAGUCCUAAGCAAGACCAAAAGCUGUAUAUUCAGAGGACACUGUUCAUUUACCUGUAACUAAGCCUGACCUACAUUUUGACUUGGGUCAACAGAGGCUUUCAGAAGCCCUGCCUGGCUGGCCAGAUCCCUCUACUCCAGGCACUGGAAGAUUGAGACAGGCUGUCUGUCCUGUUCUCCCCCAGUACUGGGAGCCAUGGCUCCAGCGAUGGAUUUCUCCACCCUACUGCCGUACCAAUAAAGUGGCAACCAUCUUGCUGAACUUUCAGGUAAUGAAGCUGCACUUUUCUCUAACUGCUAUGAUCAGUUACAGUUUAUAUUAAUCAAAUAACACCAAUGUAAAGCGAUGGGCUGCCAGGGGACGGGAAAGCAUUUUACCCUCAGCUGUUCCUGCUAUGUUUGUGUGCACAGUUCAGCUUACCAUUAACAAGGGCAAAUCAUGAUCCAUAUCCAUCUCCAGUCUGAUGCUGGGUCUCUGAAGUAAUAAACUGAGAACUAAUGCCACUUAGGAGAUUUCUGCUGUACUUCAGUGACCACUGAAGAUAUUAUCAUCUUUACUCACUUCAGUUCCUAACAGUUUGAGAAAAAGUCAGGCCAGUUGCUGGGUAUAGGUGCAUGAUAAAUCUACUCAUGCCUUGGUUUUCUUCCACACUGCAAACCAUCGCUCAAAAGUACAGCCUGGGGUACAGCUCAAGCACCAUGCAACCUGCCAUGCAUCACAGGAUGCAUUUUUGCAUGCCAGGUCUCAGUGCAGG
rnacentral:lncRNA from 1 species